rnacentral:sRNA from 1 species
AUAUCUCUCUGUACGGGAAGGAUGAGAAGCUUCGACUAAGGUUCGAUUCGAGCGAAAGCGAGAAAGCGUUGCCAACGGCAACGACCCGAAGGGCGAAGCGCGCAGCGCUGAGUAAUUCUUCCCCCACCACCA